rnacentral:tRNA from 1 species
ACCUGGGUGGCUCAGUAGAUUAAGUAUCUGACUUCUGCUCAGGUCAUGAUCUCAUGGUUUCAUGGGUUCAAGUCCCACAUCAGGUG